ensembl:lncRNA
CACUGAGCUAAAUCCCCAGCCCAUUUUUAGGAUCCUUAAGUCACUGUUUUACCUUUUUCCCAUAUAGGCAAUACAAGAAAAUUUUUACAAAUCAUGAUGAAAACACAAUUCAACCAACAUUUAAGUGGUAACUCCACGCCACUGUUUCUAGUGACAGGGACUGAGCAGUAUAUAAAAAUAGCUGUAGACCUUGAAGAGCUUAUGUUGGAGCUAGGAGAGAUAGGUAAUACAUGCAUAAAUAUGUCAAUAUAGUAAGUGCCACGGGCAAAAAGAGUAAGUGUGUUAUUUUAUAGAAGAUUAUUAGAGAAGACUUCCUUGGGAAGGUGGCAUUUUAGCAGAGACUUGAAAGAACUAAGUGACCAAGCCUUGUGGCACUACAGAAGAAUGUUCUAGACAAAGGUAAUAGCAAGUCCAAAGGCCCCCCAAGGUAGGAGCUGUUACCGUAUGAGGUCAUUUAAAAGAACAGUCUCAAAAGGUUAGUAGAACUGGAGUGCAGGGUGUGAAGAGAAAGGUAAAAAGGUUGGAGAAAAAUGCAUGACAUGGAUUGGUGCUGAAUAGUGGUGUGCACUGAUCAUGUAGGGCCUUGCGGGCCAUUGUAAGGACAUCUGGCUUGUACAAAACAAGAUGGGGAGCCAUUUGAGGGAUUUCAGCAGAUGAGUUGUGUAAUACACUUUAAGUUUUAGGAGAGUCUGGCUGCUGUUUAUAGAACAUGCACAUGGCGAAGUAGUAGUAGUAAGAAUGAUGGAAUUUUGAAGACUAGGAGAAAUCAGGCAUUUAGGGUAAGUAUCUGGUACAAACUUUGUAUCUAUAUCCUCUUGCUGAUAUUUUUCCCUGAAAAAUUUAUUUAAUGUGUUUAUGUAAAACUCCAAGUUGUAAAACAAAAGGCUUGGGUUAGCAGACCCUUUUCCUGAAAUGAAAUCUUAACUUAGAAGCCUAAUAUAUAGAAUAGAAACACCAAGCUGUUCUGGUGGGGGUGUGUAUCUGUCUAGAAACCUGCCUGCUGUUCUCCUUAUCUCCUGGUGCCCAUAGUGGUGCUGGACACUGCCAUCAAACCUGUAGGGAUUUACCAAGCAUGCUAUGAAACUGGAACCAAUCUAAAGUUCUUGCCCAUGAAUCCAAACAAAUCUCUAUAGACAGUUGGAAUUCUAAAAUGUAAUUCAGUAAACACUGUGUAAAAAUAGCAUUUACAUGAAACAGAGGAAAGCAACUGACUCCUUUAAAAAAUUUUUCUCUAUAUUAUUACUAUAAUUAAAAUUUUUUUAGCCUAGGGUGAUUUGAUUUCAAAGGUUAUAUAACAGCACAGCACUUCAUAUACUUCAGUACCCCUCCCACAUCGGUGGUGUUAGGGAUUGGACCCAGGGCCUCAUACAUGCUAGGCAAGUACUCUGCUAACUACAUCCCCAGCUCAGCCUUAUUUUUGUUGGCACCUUCUAGACUCAAGGUUGAUAGAGAAAGGUCUAGUAUCUGCAUCUUCAUUCUAUGUAGGAGUAAAAGUAUUUAGAUUCACUGAUGUCAAGUAUUACGCUUUUUGUACGAUUUGAGUGUAUCUCCCAAGGGUUCAUUUAGAAUAGACAUAUUAGAACUCAUGGCAUUUGAGUUCAAAAUAGGUUAUUUAUACCAAAACCAGAAUUUAUUAAAUUUUACGUUCAUGGCUUUAAUGGAAGCAAACUUAUCAAAAAUAUUUUCAUUAAAAUCAGAAGCUUAGGGCUGGGGAAUUAGCUCAGUGGUUCCACCACCUGCUGCGCAAGUGCAAGGACCCGAGUUCGAUCCCCAGUACCAAAAAAAAAAAAAUCAGAAGUUUAGGUCUAAUUUGCCUGGAUGAAGAAGCUCGGCUGGCUGAAGAAUGUGUAGAACUUGAGGGAAGUUCUAGUAAUCUUGUGCAAUUUAAAAGCAAGUAAACAUUGAAGAGUCUCUAGAGAUGAGAAUCACUAGGUAGAUAGGGGCUGUAUAGUCAUUUCAUGCCAAGGAGUGUGAGUGUGUGUGUGUGUGUGUGUGUGUGUGUAUGUGUAUGUGUGUGUGUGUUGCUGGAGAUGGAACCCAAGGCCUAACAGACACAUGCUAAGCAAGCACUCUAAAUGAGCUACAUCCCCAGCCUUGGAUUUUAUUUUGAAUGUGAUAUGAAACCUCUUAAUAUAUUUUAAGCAUGUGUUUUAGGAAGAUUAUAAUCACAUGAACACUAAAAGAGGAUAAGACUGGAAUUCAAGACCUGGUACAUUUUAAGAUAGAAAUGUAAUUCCAAGGCAAGCAUGGUGGCAUACCCUUGUAAUUCCAGGACUCAGGAGGCUGAGGCAGGAGGAUAGCUGUGAGUUUGUGGCCAGCGUGGGCUACAUAGUGAGUUCAAGCCCAGCCUGAGCUAUGAUUCAAAGAUAGAUAGGCUAGGUUUUGAUGAUUAAAUAUGAGGAGUAAGAGGAAACAAAUUAGGCAGAUGAAUCACUCAAGUUUCACCAUAUACAGCCUGUUCUUUAUAUCAUAUUACAUGUUUAUUCCUAAAAUAUGUGAAAAAUAUUAACAGCCACACUUGGUAUCCAUUAUCAAUAAAGACAUUAUCAAUGAAAUACAUAAUUUCAGGAAGAAAUGACUAAGAGGAACAAAGAGGGAUAUUUAAUAUUAAGUCAUAUUUCUUAGAAAAUAUAACAAUUUUUAUCUAACAUAGCAUCAAAAUAUGCCAUGCAAAGUAUGAUAAAAGUCAUCCCCUGGUAUCUGUGGGGGAUUGGUUCCAGGACCUUUGUAGAUACCAAAACUUGAGGAUGAUCAUGUCCCAUAUAUGAAAUGGUAUUCCUCUAAAUCAUCUCUAGAUUACCUAUAAUAUUUAAUACAAUGUAAAUGUUAUAUAAAUAAUUGUAUUGUGUAGGGAAUAAUAAAAAAGUCAAUAUGGGUUUAUUACAAAUUUGUUUUCAAAUAUUUUUGAUUGGUAGUUGGUUGAAUUCACAUGUGGAAUCCACAAGUACGGAGAACCAACUGUACUCUCUCUAAG